rnacentral:tRNA from 1 species
GGGGUUUUAGCUCAGUGGUAGAGUGCUUACCUAGCAUGUGAGAGGCCCUGAGUUUGAUCCUCAGCACCA